GGAUUGUGGCUCAGUGGUAGAGUGCUGGCCUAAUACAUGCAAGGCCCUGGGUUCUAUCCUCAGCACCA
rnacentral:tRNA from 1 species